rnacentral:rRNA from 1 species
GGGGUGCGUAACGCGUGGGAAUCUGCCCUUAGGUACGGAAUAACAGUUAGAAAUGACUGCUAAUACCGUAUGAUGACGUAAGUCCAAAGAUUUAUCGCCUAAGGAUGAGCCCGCGUAGGAUUAGCUAGUUGGUGAGGUAAAAGCUCACCAAGGCGACGAUCCUUAACUGGUCUGAGAGGAUGAUCAGCCACACUGGGACUGAGACACGGCCCGUACUCCUUUGGAGCGCCUCCUAGGGGAAUAUUGGACAAUGGGCGAAAGCCUGAUCCAGCAAUGCCGCGUGAGUGAUGAAGGCCUUAGGGUUGUAAAGCUCUUUUACCCGGGAAGAUAAUGACUGUACCGGGAGAAUAAGCCCCGGCUAACUCCGUGCCAGCAGCCGCGGUAAUACGGAGGGGGCUAGCGUUGUUCGGAAUUACUGGGCGUAAAGCGCACGUAGGCGGCUUGAUAAGUUAGAGGUGAAAGCCCGGGGCUCAACUCCGGAAUAGCCUUUAAGACUGUCUCGCUUGAACGUCGGAGAGGUGAGUGGAAUUCCGAGUGUAGAGGUGAAAUUCGUAGA